UUUCACACAAUAUAUUAAUUUGAUUUCAACACGUUGUAAUACUGUAAAUCUUCUGACAACACACAGCAAUACACGAACAGUAACACUCAGGCAUGUUUUAG